rnacentral:rRNA from 1 species
UACGAGGGGGCGAGCGUUGUUCGGAAUUAUUGGGCGUAAAGGGUGCGUAGGCGGCCUGACAAGUCUGAUGUGAAAUCCCUGGGCUCAACCCAGGGCCUGCAUCGGAAACUGUCGGGCUUGAGUAUGGGAGAGGUGAGUGGAAUUUCCGGUGUAGCGGUGAAAUGCGUAGAUAUCGGAAAGGAACACCUGUGGCGAAAGCGGCUCACUGGACCAUUACUGACGCUGAGGCACGAAAG